rnacentral:rRNA from 1 species
CACAAGCGGUGGAUGAUGUGGUUUAAUUCGAUGCAACGCGAAAACCUUACCCACCUUUGACAUGUACGGAAGUUGCCAGAGAUGGCUUCGUGCUCGAAAGAGAGCCGUAACACAGGUGCUGCAUGGCUGUCGUCAGCUCGUGUCGUGAGAUGUUGGGUUAAGUCCCGCAACGAGCGCAACCCUUGUCAUUAGUUGCUACGAAAGGGCACUCUAAUGAGACUGCCGGUGACAAACCGGAGGAAGUGGGGAUGACGUCAAGUCCUCAUGGCCCUUAUAGGUGGGGCUACACACGUCAUACAAUGGCUGGUACAAAGGGUUGCCAACCCGCGAGGGGGAGCCAAUCCCAUAAAGCCAGUCGUAGUCCGGAUCGCAGUCUGCAACUCGACUGCGUGAAGUCGGAAUCGCUAGUAAUCGUGGAUCAGCAUGUCACGGUGAAUACGUUCCCGGGUCUU